rnacentral:rRNA from 1 species
AUGAACGCUGGCGGCGUGCCUAAUACAUGCAAGUCGAGCGAACAGAUGAGGAGCUUGCUCCUCUGACGUUAGCGGCGGACGGGUGAGUAACACGUGGAUAACCUACCUAUAAGACUGGGAUAACUUCGGGAAACCGGAGCUAAUACCGGAUAAUAUAUUGAACCGCAUGGUUCAAUAGUGAAAGACGGUUUUGCUGUCACUUAUAGAUGGAUCCGCGCCGCAUUAGCUAGUUGGUAAGGUAACGGCUUACCAAGGCAACGAUGCGUAGCCGACCUGAGAGGGUGAUCGGCCACACUGGAACUGAGACACGGUCCAGACUCCUACGGGAGGCAGCAGUAGGGAAUCUUCCGCAAUGGGCGAAAGCCUGACGGAGCAACGCCGCGUGAGUGAUGAAGGUCUUCGGAUCGUAAAACUCUGUUAUUAGGGAAGAACAAAUGUGUAAGUAACUAUGCACGUCUUGACGGUACCUAAGCAGAAAGCCACGGCUAACUACGU